rnacentral:rRNA from 1 species
GACGAACGCUGGCGGCGUGCUUAACACAUGCAAGUCGAACGGUAAGGCCCUGCUUUUGUGGGGUGCUCGAGUGGCGAACGGGUGCGUAACACGUGAGUAACCUGCCCUUGACUUUGGGAUAACUUCAGGAAACUGGGGCUAAUACCGGAUAGGAGCCCCUGCUGCAUGGUGGGGGUUGGAAAGUUUCGGCGGUUGGGGAUGGACUCGCGGCUUAUCAGCUUGUUGGUGGGGUAGUGGCUUACCAAGGCUUUGACGGGUAGCCGGCAUGAGAGGGUGACCGGCCACAUUGGGACUAGGAUACGGCCCAGACUACUACGGGAGGCAGCAGUGGGGAAUAUUGCACAAUGGGCGGAAGCCUGAUACAGCAGCGCCGCGUUCGGGAUGACGGCCUUCGGGUUGUAAACCGCUUUCGCCUGUGACGAAGCGUGAGUGACGGUAAUGGGUAAAGAAGCACCGGCUAACUACGUG